AAAAGGACAUUCAGAGCACUCAGCAGGAGGCACUUGAACCCCCUUGGACAGGAGAGCCUGCUUCAGCUCCAGCGGCAGCCAGCAAUAACACUCUCCGUAAAAGUACACCCCAUCCCUUGACGUACCUAAUAUCUCCAAUAACACUGACUGAAGAGACGAGAGUUGUAUUUCUACUACUCUUUUUCUAACGCAAACCUUCAAGAGUAUGUUUUGAAUUCAGAAAUGCACAAACCAAGGCUCCUGGAGGAAGGAUACAGCAUACAAGUUCUCCAUGUAGAGGACAAUGAACAGAUAUCACCUGUAUACCAUGAAAAGGGUCACGUGGCGCCAUCAAAACCACCUGUGGCC